rnacentral:rRNA from 1 species
AAAUCGGGAAGCCUACACAUGCAAGCCGAGCGGUAGAGUAUCUUCGGAUACUUGAGAGCGGCGUACGGGUGCGGAACACGUGUGCAACCUGCCUUUAUCAGGGGGAUAGCCUUUCGAAAGGAAGAUUAAUACCCCAUAAUAUUUAGGAUGGCAUCAUUUUAAAUUGAAAACUGAGGUGGAUAAAGAUGGGCACGCGCAAGAUUAGAUAGUUGGUAGGGUAACGGCCUACCAAGUCGAUGAUCUUUAGGGGGCCUGAGAGGGUGAUCCCCCACACUGGUACUGAGACACGGACCAGACUCCUACGGGAGGCAGCAGUGAGGAAUAUUGGACAAUGGGUGAGAGCCUGAUCCAGCCAUCCCGCGUGAAGGACGACGGCCCUAUGGGUUGUAAACUUCUUUUGUAUAGGGAUAAACCUUUCCACGUGUGGAAAGCUGAAGGUACUAUACGAAUAAGCACCGGCUAACUCCGUGCCAGCAGCCGCGGUAAUACGGAGGGUGCAAGCGUUAUCCGGAUUUAUUGGGUUUAAAGGGUCCGUAGGCGGAUCUGUAAGUCAGUGGUGAAAUCUCACAGCUUAACUGUGAAACUGCCAUUGAUACUGCAGGUCUUGAGUAAGGUAGAAGUAGCUGGAAUAAGUAGUGUAGCGGUGAAAUGCAUAGAUAUUACUUAGAACACCAAUUGCGAAGGCAGGUUACUAUGUCUUAACUGACGCUGAUGGACGAAAGCGUGGGGAGCGAACAGGAUUAGAUACCUGGUAGUCCACGCCGUAAACGAUGCUAACUCGUUUUUGGGCUUUCGGGUUCAGAGACUAAGCGAAAGUGAUAAGUUAGCCACCUGGGGAGUACGUUCGCAAGAAUGAAACUCAAAGGAAUUGACGGGGGCCCGCACAAGCGGUGGAUUAUGUGGUUUAAUUCGAUGAUACGCGAGGAACCUUACCAAGGCUUAAAUGGGAAUUGAUCGGGUUUAGAAAUAGACCUUCCUUUCGGGCAAUUUUCAAGGUGCUGCAUGGAUGUCGUCAGCUCGUGCCGUGAGUGUUAGGUAAGUCCUGCAACGAGCGCAGCCCCUGUCACUAGUGCAUCAUUCAGUGGACUCUAGUGAGACUGCUACGCAGUUAGAGAGCACGUUGGGAUGACGGUCCAAUCAUCACGGCCCUACGUCUGGGCCAACAG